AGGUACACCCGUGCCGGCAGCAGCGGUAAUACGGAGGAUCCAAGCGUGAUCCGGAAGCAUUGGGUUUAAAGGGUCCGUAGGCGGCCUUAUAAGUCAGUGGUGAAAUCUCACGGCUCAACCGUGAAAUGGCCAUUGAUACUGUAGGGCUUGAAGUAGUGGGAAGUAACUAGAAUAUGUAGUGUAGCGGUGAAAUGCUUAGAUAUUACAUGGAAUACCGAUUGCGAAGGCAGGUUACUACCAAUGGAUUGACGCUGAUGGACGAAAGCGUGGGUAGCGAACAGGAUUAGAUACUCUGGAGUC
rnacentral:rRNA from 1 species